AUUGAACGCUAGCGGCAGGCUUAACACAUGCAAGUCGAGCGGGGUGAUGGUGCUUGCACUAUCACUUAGCGGCGGACGGGUGAGUAAUGCUUAGGAAUCUGCCUAUUAGUGGGGGACAACAUCUCGAAAGGGAUGCUAAUACCGCAUACGUCCUACGGGAGAAAGCAGGGGAUCACUUGUGACCUUGCGCUAAUAGAUGAGCCUAAGUCGGAUUAGCUAGUUGGUGGGGUAAAGGCCUACCAAGGCGACGAUCUGUAGCGGGUCUGAGAGGAUGAUCCGCCACACUGGGACUGAGACACGGCCCAGACUCCUACGGGAGGCAGCAGUGGGGAGUAUUGGACAAUGGGGGGAACCCUGAUCCAGCCAUGCCGCGUGUGUGAAGAAGGCCUUAUGGUUGUAAAGCACUUUAAGCGAGGAGGAGGCUCUUUUGGUUAAUACCCAAGAUGAGUGGACGUUACUCGCAGAAUAAGCACCGGCUAACUCUGUGCCAGCCGCCGCAGUAA
rnacentral:rRNA from 1 species